rnacentral:rRNA from 1 species
GCUUGUCUCAAAGAUUAAGCCAUGCAUGUCUAAGUAUAAACAAAUUUAUAGUGAAACUGCGAAUGGCUCAUUAUAUCAGUUAUAGUUUAUUUGGCGAUAAAAACUACUUGGAUAACCGUAGUAAUUCUAGAGCUAAUACAUGCGUAAAGUCCCGACUCUUGCGGGGAGGGAUGUAUUUAUUAGAUAAAAAACCAAUGCGGCCUCUGGUCGGUAUUGUGGUGAAUCAUAGUAACUUUUCGAAUCGCAUGGCUUCACGCCGGCGAUAGUUCAUUCAAAUUUCUGCCCUAUCAGCUUUCGACGGUAGUGUAGUGGACUACCGUGGCGUUAACGGGUAACGGAGAAUUAGGGUUCGAUUCCGGAGAGGGAGCCUGAGAAACGGCUACCACAUCCAAGGAAGGCAGCAGG